rnacentral:rRNA from 1 species
CGGAGGGUGCAAGCGUUAUCCGGAUUUAUUGGGUUUAAAGGGUGCGUAGGCGGUAUUCUAAGUCAGUGGUGAAAUGUUGCAGCUUAACUGUAGAGUUGCCAUUGAAACUGAAGUACUUGAGUUAUCUUGAGGUAGGCGGAAUGCGUAGUGUAGCGGUGAAAUGCUUAGAUAUUACACAGAACACCGAUUGCGAAGGCAGCUUACUAAGGAUAAACUGACGCUCAGGCACGAAAGCGUGGGGAUCGAACAGGAUUAGAUACCCUGGUAGUCCACGCCGUAAACGAUGAUGACUCGCUGUUGGCGAUACACAGUCAGCGGCUUAGCGAAAGCGUUAAGUCAUCCACCUGGGGAGUACGCUCGCAAGAGUG